UCAUUGGGCAAGCUCCCCGAAAAUUUGACCGGGCCCCAAGAUUCGCAAGCGGGGGACCGGUGAGGAAUACAUCGGAAUCUACUCUGUCGUGGGGGAUAACGUAGGGAAACUUACGCUAAUACCGCAUACGACCUACGGGUGAAAGCAGGGGAUCUUCGGACCUUGCGCGAUUGAAUGAGCCGAUGUCGGAUUACCUAGUUGGCGGGGUAAAGGCCCACCAAGGCGACGAUCCGUAGCUGGUCUGAGAGGAUGAUCAGCCACACUGGAACUGAGACACGGUCCAGACUCCUACGGGAGGCAGCAGUGGGGAAUAUUGGACAAUGGGCGCACGCCUGAUCCAGCCAUACCGCGUGGGUGAAGAAGGCCUUCGGGUUGUAAAGCCCUUUUGUUGGGAAAGAAAUCCAGCUGGCUAAUACCCGGUUGGGAUGACGGUACCCAAAGAAUAACCACCGGCUAACUUCCUGCCAGCAGCCGCGGUAAUACGAAGGGGUGCAAGCGUCACUCGCAAUUACUGGGCGUAAAGCGUGCGUAGGUGCUCGUCUACCUCCGUUGUGAAGCCCUGGGUCAACCUGGGAACUGCAUUGCAUACUGGACGACUAGUGGGCAAAGGGAGCGAAUUCCUCGUGCCCCCUCGACUGCCCACAGAUC
rnacentral:rRNA from 1 species